rnacentral:rRNA from 1 species
UUGGAGUUUGAUCUUGGCUCAGAUUGUAGGCUAGCGGAAUGCUUUACACAUGCAAAGUCGAACGGCAGCACGGAGAGCUUGCUCUCUGGUGGCGAGUGGCGAACGGGUGAGUAAUGUAUCGGAACAUACCCAGUAGCGGGGGAUAACUACUCGAAAGAGUGGCUAAUACCGCAUACGCCCUACGGGGGAAAGGGGGGGAUCUUAGGACCUCUCACUAUUGGAGUGGCCGAUAUCGGAUUAGCUAGUUGGUGGGGUAAAGGCUCACCAAGGCGACGAUCCGUAGCUGGUUUGAGAGGACGACCAGCCACACUGGGACUGAGACACGGCCCAGACUCCUACGGGAGGCAGCAGUGGGGAAUUUUGGACAAUGGGCGAAAGCCUGAUCCAGCCAUUCCGCGUGUGUGAUGAAGGCCUUCGGGUUGUAAAGCACUUUUGUCAGGGAAGAAACAGCGAUGAAUAAUACUUGUCGCCGAAUGACGGUACCUGAAGAAUAAGCACCGGCUAACUACGUGCCAGCCGCCGCCGUAACACAAA